rnacentral:rRNA from 1 species
AACGAACGCUGGCGGCAUGCCUAACACAUGCAAGUCGAACGAGACCUUCGGGUCUAGUGGCGCACGGGUGCGUAACACGUGGGAAUUUGCCUCGGGGUAUGGAAUAACUCAGGGAAACUUGAGCUAAUACCAUAUAAUGUCUUCGGACCAAAGAUUUAUCGCCCUGAGAUAAGCCCGCGUAGGAUUAGCUAGUUGGUGAGGUAAAGGCUCACCAAGGCGACGAUCUUUAGCUGGUCUGAGAGGAUGAUCAGCCACACUGGGACUGAGACACGGCCCAGACUCCUACGGGAGGCAGCAGUGGGGAAUAUUGGACUAUGGGCGAAAGCCUGAUCCAGCAAUGCCGCGUGAGUGAUGAAGGCCUUAGGGUUGUAAAGCUCUUUUACC